AUACGCUUGUGAUCAAGGGCCUGGUCUCCCCUCAAGACACGGUCACAGAUCAGAGGCCACACCAUCCUAGCAGUGGAGCAGGACCAGCUGGGACAGGGUCCUUCUGUGACACCUGCUGCAUCACCAGGCUGGGUGAACGGACACAAUUGCCAGAACUCACAGAAUAGAAGUAUCAGCACCGAAACCUCACAGGAAAAAUGUAACUGAAAUAAAAUCUGGCCUCUGUGAAACCCUGGAAAUACCACGACCCUCAACUAGAAACACCAAUACCAGCUCCUCCGCGAGUUUCCAGCUCCACAACCUAAGACAUCAGAGGCAGCAUUGGUUCCUCACGUAGAGUCCAGCUCCGGGACCCUCAUAUUUGAACCGCAGGGCCAUCUCAUCCCUGGAUCUCCAGCUGCACCACACUCAAAUUAGAACAACAUCAGUUCCUCUACAGGUCUGCAGCUGCAAGACCCUCAAUCUAGAACGUCAGCUCCUCCCUGAGUCUCCAGCUGAAACACCCUCAAAACGAACAACAUCAGCU
rnacentral:lncRNA from 1 species